ensembl:lncRNA
GGUAGCCAUUUUUCCAAUCGUUUCUUAUGAGAAACCAACUGCCUCGACGGAUAUAUUAUCGAAUACAUAUGUUAAAAACACAUUGAGGAUGGAUCCUAAACAACGUUUGCCGUGUUUCUGUCGAUAUUAUGGAGCAAAUUUUGAAAAGUUUGGUGUUAUAGUUUAAGUAUUUUUCGGUCGAUUUCUCAGCCAAGCAUGGUGAAGAAACGGGAGCUUUUUCGCCUACAAAAAUAAUAUUUUUUAAAAAAGGAACAUUUGCUAUCUAACUGGGAGUCUCCUGAGUGAAUGCAUCCGAAGUUCUUCAAAGGUGCAGCCUGAGAUGCAACGGCCGUGACGGAACUACCCACCACCAAAGGACCAAGAAGCGUGGUAAAGAGGACUCCUGGACAUGGGAGGAGAUCCUGGAUGGAAAGGGACCCUGGACGCAGGCCGGGGAGUAUUGCCGUCUGAGUGAAGAGAGGGAGGUAGCUAAGGUGGAGCGGCUGCGAUAUGAGGAGGCAAGUCAGCGAAGCAGGCACGAGAGGCAGCCCCCAAUUUCUUUGAGGGGGCACAUGGGG